GACGAACGCUGGCGGCGUGCUUAACACAUGCAAGUCGAACGGUGAAGCCCUUCGGGGUGGAUCAGUGGCGAACGGGUGAGUAACGCGUGAGCAACCUGCCCCUGGCUCUGGGACAACCACUGGAAACGGUGGCUAAUACCGGAUACGACCCGCCUCGGCAUCGAGUGUGGGUGGAAAGUUUUUCGGCUGGGGAUGGGCUCGCGGCCUAUCAGCUUGUUGGUGAGGUGAAGGCUCACCAAGGCGACGACGGGUAGCCGGCCUGAGAGGGCGACCGGCCACACUGGGACUGAGACACGGCCCAGACUCCUACGGGAGGCAGCAGUGGGGAAUAUUGCACAAUGGGCGAAAGCCUGAUGCAGCGACGCCGCGUGAGGGAUGACGGCCUUCGGGUUGUAAACCUCUUUCAGCUCCGAAGAAGCGAAAGUGACGGUAGGAGCAGAAGAAGCACCGGCUAACUACGUG
rnacentral:rRNA from 1 species